AUUGAACGCUGGCGGCAUGCCUUACACAUGCAAGUCGAACGGUAACGGGUCCUUCGGGAUGCCGACGAGUGGCGAACGGGUGAGUAAUAUAUCGGAACGUGCCCAGUAGUGGGGGAUAACUGCUCGAAAGAGCAGCUAAUACCGCAUACGACCUGAGGGUGAAAGGGGGGGAUCGCAAGACCUCUCGCUAUUGGAGCGGCCGAUAUCAGAUUAGCUAGUUGGUGGGGUAAAGGCCUACCAAGGCAACGAUCUGUAGUUGGUCUGAGAGGACGACCAGCCACACUGGGACUGAGACACGGCCCAGACUCCUACGGGAGGCAGCAGUGGGGAAUUUUGGACAAUGGGCGCAAGCCUGAUCCAGCAAUGCCGCGUGCAGGAAGAAGGCCUUCGGGUUGUAAACUGCUUUUGUCAGGGAAGAAAUCUUCUGGGCUAAUACCCCGGGAGGAUGACGGUACCUGAAGAAUAAGCACCGGCUAACUACGUGCCAGCAGCCGCGGUAAUACGUAGGGUGCGAGCGUUAAUCGGAAUUACUGGGCGUAAAGCGUGCGCAGGCGGCUUUGCAAGACAGAUGUGAAAUCCCCGGGCUCAACCUGGGAGCUGCAUUUGUGACUGCAAGGCUAGAGUACGGCAGAGGGGGAUGGAAUUCCGCGUGUAGCAGUGAAAUGCGUAGAUAUGCGGAGGAACACCAAUGGCGAAGGCAAUCCCCUGGGCCUGUACUGACGCUCAUGCACGAAAGCGUGGGGAGCAAACAGGAUUAGAUACCCUGGUAGUCCACGCCCUAAACGAUGUCAACUGGUUGUUGGACGGCUUGCUGUUCAGUAACGAAGCUAACGCGUGAAGUUGACCGCCUGGGGAGUACGGCCGCAAGGUCGAAACUCAAAGGAAUUGACGGGGACCCGCACAAGCGGUGGAUGAUGUGGUUUAAUUCGAUGCAACGCGAAAAACCUUACCUACCCUUGACAUGUCAAGAAUUCUGCAGAGAUGUGGAAGUGCUCGAAAGAGAACUUGAACACAGGUGCUGCAUGGCCGUCGUCAGCUCGUGUCGUGAGAUGUUGGGUUAAGUCCCGCAACGAGCGCAACCCUUGUCAUUAGUUGCUACGCAAGAGCACUCUAAUGAGACUGCCGGUGACAAACCGGAGGAAGGUGGGGAUGACGUCAGGUCCUCAUGGCCCUUAUGGGUAGGGCUACACACGUCAUACAAUGGCCGGUACAGAGGGCUGCCAACCCGCGAGGGGGAGCCAAUCCCAGAAAACCGGUCGUAGUCCGGAUCGUAGUCUGCAACUCGACUGCGUGAAGUCGGAAUCGCUAGUAAUCGCGGAUCAGCUUGCCGCGGUGAAUACGUUCCCGGGUCU
rnacentral:rRNA from 1 species